GGCUCAGGAUGAACGCUAGCUACAGGCUUAACACAUGCAAGUCGAGGGGCAGCAUGACGGAACCUUCGGGUUUUGUUGAUGGCGACCGGCGCAAGGGUGCGUAACGCGUGAGCAAACUUGCCCGUUUCAGGGGGAUAACCGGUGGAAACGCCGACUAAUACCCCAUGGCAUCAUAUUAAGGCAUCUUUAUAUGAUUAAAGAAUUUCGGAAACGGAUAGGCUCGCGUGACAUUAGCUAGAUGGCGGGGUAACGGCCCACCAUGGCGACGAUGUCUAGGGGUUCUGAGAGGAAGGUCCCCCACACUGGAACUGAGACACGGUCCAGACUCCUACGGGAGGCAGCAGUGAGGAAUAUUGGUCAAUGGUCUGACGACUGAACCAGCCAUGCCGCGUGAAGGUCACGGCCCUAUGGGUCUUAAACUUCUUUUGCGAGGGAGCAAUAAGGUCUACGUGUAGUCCGAUGAGAGUACCUCGCGAAUAAGCAUCGGCUAACUCCGUG
rnacentral:rRNA from 1 species